rfam:Firmicutes bacterium CAG:65 genomic scaffold, scf19
GAUCCCUUAGUCUAAAGGUUAGGACGGCAGCCUCUCAAGCUGCAAAUGUCGAGUUCAAGUCUCGCAGGGGUCA